rnacentral:rRNA from 1 species
AUUGAACGCUGGCGGCAUGCCUUACACAUGCAAGUCGCACGGCAGCACGGGUGCUUGCACCUGGUGGCGAGUUGCGAACGGGUGAGCAAUACAUCGGAACGUACCUUAUCGUGGGGGACACAGCAGCGAAAGCUGUGCUAAUACCGCAUACGCCCUGCGCGGGAAAGCGGGGGAUCGCAAGACCUCGCGCGACUAGAGCGGCCGAUGCCUGAUUAGCUUGUUGGUGGGGUAAAAGCCCACCAAGGCGACGAUCAGGAGCUGGUCUGAGAGGACGAUCAGCCACACUGGGACUGAGACACGGCCCAGACUCCUACGGGAGGCAGCAGUGGGGAAUUUUGGACAAUGGGGGCAACCCUGAUCCAGCAAUGCCGCGUGAGUGAAGAAGGCCUUCGGGUUGUAAAGCUCUUUUGUCAGGGAAGAAACACCGGCUCUAACACAGUCCGGGAAUGACGGUACCUGAAGAAUAAGCACCGGCUAACUACGUGCCAGCAGCCGCGGUAA